GGGAUACGUUGACAUUAGGAGGUCAACAUGGCGGCGCCCAUAAACACAUUAAACUAAAAGUAAAAGGAAAAUGAAAUGACUCUGCGGUGCCUUGAUGACAAUGGAUAUGACAGAAGCAAAUGCUCUGAUUUUUUUCUGAAUUACAAUAACUGUCGCAAAUUUUGGAGCUGGGUUACAAGUCAGAGGAAGCAACAAGGAAUUUCC